rnacentral:sRNA from 1 species
AGCCUUCCAUGACAGACAAGAGCCACUCAGGCUAGCCAAGGAGACUGCCUAUCUCGGCUCAUCUGAACCAGCCAGGCCACACUGAUCAUGGCACUGCAUCAUUCAGAAGAGCACAAUAGGCAAGUCAUCCUUGGCUACCAGAGGCAGGCUCUAGCCCUCAUGCAAGGCCCCUCUUCUUCCUCUUUCUUCCUAGCUUCCUUCCUACCGAUGAUCGAUGAUGCGUUACCGCUUACAUUUCGCGCUAUUUAUAAUG